AUUGAACGCUGGCGGCAUGCCUUACACAUGCAAGUCGAACGGCAGCGGGGGAGAAGCUUGCUUUUCCUGCCGGCGAGUGGCGAACGGGCGAGUAAUACAUCGGAACGUGCCCUGUAGUGGGGGAUAACUAGUCGAAAGAUUAGCUAAUACCGCAUACGACCUGAGGGUGAAAGGGGGGGACCGCAAGGCCUCAUGCUAUAGGAGCGGCCGAUGUCUGAUUAGCUAGUUGGUGGGGUAAAGGCCUACCAAGGCGACGAUCAGUAGCUGGUCUGAGAGGACGAUCAGCCACACUGGGACUGAGACACGGCCCAGACUCCUACGGGAGGCAGCAGUGGGGAAUUUUGGACAAUGGGCGAAAGCCUGAUCCAGCAAUGCCGCGUGUGUGAAGAAGGCCUUCGGGUUGUAAAGCACUUUUGUCCGGAAAGAAAUGGCUCUGGUUAAUACCUGGGGUCGAUGACGGUACCGGAAGAAUAGGGACCGGCUAACUACGUGCCAGCCGCCGCAGUAA
rnacentral:rRNA from 1 species